rnacentral:rRNA from 1 species
UUUGUGUACCUACCUCUGUUGCUUUGGCGGGCCGCGGUUCUCCGCGGCCGCCCCCCUCCCCGGGGGGUGGCCAGCGCCCGCCAGAGGACCAUCAAACUCCAGUCAGUAAACGAUGCAGUCUGAAAAACAUUUAAUAAACUAAAACUUUCAACAACGGAUCUCUUGGUUCUGGCAUCGAUGAAGAACGCAGCGAAAUGCGAUAAGUAAUGUGAAUUGCAGAAUUCAGUGAAUCAUCGAAUCUUUGAACGCACAUUGCGCCCUUUGGUAUUCCGAAGGGCAUGCCUGUUCGAGCGUCAUUACAACCCUCAAGCUCUGCUUGGUAUUGGGCACCGUCCUUUGCGGGCGCGCCUCAAAGACCUCGGCGGUGGCGUCUUGCCUCAAGCGUAGUAGAACAUACAUCUCGCUUCGGAGCGCAGGGCGUCGCCCGCCGGACGAACCUUCUGAACUUUUCUCAAGGUUGACCUCGGAUCAGGUAGGGAUACCCGCUGAACUUAAGCAUAUCAAUAAGCGGAGG